GCGCAGGCGGUCUUUUAAGUCUAAUGUGAAAGCCUUCGGCUCAACCGAAGAAGUGCAUUGGAAACUGGGAGACUUGAGUGCAGAAGAGGACAGUGGAAUUCCAUGUGUAGCGGUGAAAUGCGUAGAUAUAUGGAAGAACACCAGUGGCGAAGGCGGCUGUCUGGUCUGCAACUGACGCUGAGGCUCGAAAGCAUGGGUAGCGAACAG
rnacentral:rRNA from 1 species